GACGAACGCUGGCGGCGUGCCUAAUACAUGCAAGUUGAGCGCUGAAGGUUGGUACUUGUACCAACUGGAUGAGCAGCGAACGGGUGAGUAACGCGUGGGGAAUCUGCCUUUGAGCGGGGGACAACAUUUGGAAACGAAUGCUAAUACCGCAUAAAAACUUUAAACACAAGUCCUAAGUUUGAAAGAUGCAAUUGCAUCACUCAAAGAUGAUCCCGCGUUGUAUUAGCUAGUUGGUGAGGUAAAGGCUCACCAAGGCGAUGAUACAUAGCCGACCUGAGAGGGUGAUCGGCCACAUUGGGACUGAGACACGGCCCAAACUCCUACGGGAGGCAGCAAUAGGGAAUCUUCGGCAAUGGACGAAAGUCUGACCGAGCAACGCCGCGUGAGUGAAGAAGGUUUUCGGAUCGUAAAACUCUGUUGGUAGAGAAGAACGUUGGUGAGAGUGGAAAGCUCAUCAAGUGACGGUAACUACCCAGAAAGGGACGGCUAACUACGUG
rnacentral:rRNA from 1 species